AUUGAACGCUGGCGGCAGGCUUAACACAUGCAAGUCGAGCGAGGGGGGGACGGGUGAGUAAGGCUGGGGAAUCUGGCUUAGGGGGGGGGAUAAUGACGGGAAACUGACGCUAAUACAGCGUAUCAUAGGCUGAGCCCAAGGGGGAUUAGGUAGUUGGUGGGGGAAUGGCCUACCAAGCCGACGAUCUCUAGCUGGUCUGAGAGGGUGACCAGCCACACCGGGGCGUGGACACUGCCCGGACUCCUACGUGAGGCAGCAGUGGGGAAUAUUGCGCAAUGGGGGCAACCUGACGCAGCCAUGCCGCGUGAAUGAAGAAGGCCUUCGGGUUGUAAAGUUCUUUCGGUGACGAGGCGUUAAUCACAGAAGAAGCACCGGCUAACUCCGUGCCAGCAGCCGCGGUAAUAC
rnacentral:rRNA from 1 species